UACGGGGGGGGCAAGCGUUGUUCGGAAUUACUGGGCGUAAAGGGUGCGUAGGCGGCUCUCUAAGUUGGAUGUGAAAACUCUGGGCUCAACCCAGAGCCUGCAUCCAAAACUGGAGAGCUCGGGUUCUGGAGGGGAAAGCGGAAUUCCUGGUGUAGCGGUGAAAUGCGUAGAUAUCAGGAGGAACACCGGUGGCGAAGGCGGCUUUCUGGACAGAUACCGACGCUGAGGCACGAAAGCUAGGGGAGCAAACAGG
rnacentral:rRNA from 1 species